rnacentral:rRNA from 1 species
AGCGAACGCUGGCGGCAUGCCUAACACAUGCAAGUCGCGCGGAGCGGCGGACGGGUGAGUAGCGCGUAGGAACGUGUCCGGAGGUGGGGGACAACCCUGGGAAACCGGGGCUAAUACCGCAUGCUUCCGGAGCGGCCUGCGUCCGAUUAGCUGGUUGGCGGGGUAACGGCCCACCAAGGCUCCGAUCGGUAGCUGGUCUGAGAGGACGAUCAGCCACACUGGGACUGAGACACGGCCCAGACUCCUACGGGAGGUAGCAGUGGGGAAUAUUGGGCAAGGGGCGCAAGCCUGACCCAGCAAUGCCGCGUGGGUGAAGAAGGUCUUCGGAUUGGAAAGCCCUUUCGGCGGGGACGCGGUACCCGCAGAAGAAGCCCCGGCCAACUUCGUGCCAGCAGCCGCGGUAAUUC